CGUCUAGGCGGCCUUUUAAGUCUGAUGUGAAAAUGCGGGGCUCAACUCCGUAUUGCGUUGGAAACUGGAAGGCUAGAGUAUCAGAGAGGUGGGCGGAACUACAAGUGUAGAGGUGAAAUUCGUAGAUAUUUGUAGGAAUGCCGAUGGGGAAGCCAGCUCACUGGAUGAAUACUGACGCUGAAGCGCGAAAGCGUGGGGAGCAAAC
rnacentral:rRNA from 1 species